rnacentral:tRNA from 1 species
UGGGGCGUGGCCAAGCUGGUAAGGCGCCUGACUCUGGAUCAGGAAAUUCCUAGGUUCGAAUCCUAGCGCCCCAGCCA